GCACAAAAGAAUCAGAGCGAGAGCGAGAGCCAGAGAGAGAGGGGAUGCUAAGAAACAAAACAAGAGAUUGCAAAAAGAAGAUAAUCAGAUAAAAAGAAAGGAGAAUGUAGAAAAUGCAAUUGGAAAAGAAUUUCAAGAAAAUAAGGAUAAAGGACAGGGAGGGCUGACAGGAGGGCAAGAGGGAGGGAGGAAAGGAAGGAUUUUUGGUUUCUAAUUCCCUGGCGAAGCUGCUGGCGUCCGCGCCCUUAACGCCACAGCCUUCCAAGUUGAGGCGAAAGCCACCUCCUCGGGCCUGCGUCGCAUCCAACUUACUCCAAGUUUUCUGGUGACUCCUACAGGGCCCCUUUCCGUCCCCGCCCCCCCCCCCUCCCCUGGAGAGAUUGACAGUCGCGUGGAGGAGGCUUUUCCAGGCACAGCCUUUCUCAUGGUAAUCAGCCCCCAGCAUCACCUCCCGGCUGCGGCCGCUCCCGCUCCUUGCGCAGCUCGCGGACCCCGGGGACCGGAAACAGGGCGGCGGGCGGGGAGCAGGCUAGCUAGCGACCCAGGCUCAACUCCGAAUGGAUUGGAUUGCAAGUUUGCACGUGAGAAAACCGUUUGGCUUGACUUGGACCCCUGCCGCCCCCCACCCCCUCCACACACACUCCAAUCCAGGGGUCUCCCUUAUCACCCUUUGCUUGCAACUCUAAAAGAAGUUGCCCACCUCCUGCGUAACAACACAGGGUUGAAAUAAUUCCUCUAGAUGAAAGAUCAAUUCCGUUUCAAAACGAGAAUACGUUUUCUUUUUUUUUUUUUUAUUUUCUCCACAUGGUACAAAAUAAACAAAAUUUGCUAUAAAAAAA